rnacentral:rRNA from 1 species
UACGGGGGGAGCAAGCGUUGUUCGGAUUUACUGGGCGUAAAGGGCGCGUAGGCGGUCGUGACAAGUCACUUGUGAAAUCUCCGGGCUUAACUCGGAACGGUCAAGUGAUACUGUCGUGCUAGAGUACAGAAGGGGCAACUGGAAUUCUCGGUGUAGCGGUGAAAUGCGCAGAUAUCAGGAGGAACACCGAUGGCGAAGGCAGGUCUCUGGGCCGAUACUGACGCUGAGGAGCGAAAGCGUGGGGAGCGAACAGG